GACGAACGCUGGCGGCGUGCUUAACACAUGCAAGUCGAACGGAAAGGCCCUGCUUUUGUGCCGUUCUCGAUUGGCGAACGGGUGAGUAACACGUGAGUAACCUGCCCUUGACUUUGGGAUAACUUCAGGAAACUGGGGCUAAUACCCGAUAGGAGCUCCUGCUGCAUGUUGGGGGUUGGAAAGUUUCGGCGGUUGUGGAUCGACUCGCGGCUUAUCAGCUUGUUUGUGGGGUAGUUGCUUACCAAGGCUUUGACGGGUAGCCGGCCUGAGAGGGUGACCGGGCACAUUGGGACUGAGGGAGGGACCAGAAGGCUACGGGAGGCAGCAGGGGAGAAUCUUGCAGAAUGGGCGGAAGUGUGAUGCAGCAAUGCCGGGUGCGGGAUGACGGCUUUCGGGUUGUAAACCGCUGUCGACUGUGACGAAGCGGGAGUGACGGUAAUGGGUAAAGAAGCAACGGCUAACUACGUG
rnacentral:rRNA from 1 species